AGAGAUGUGGUUUCAGCAUGAUGGCCAGGCGGCUGGGAUUUCCCCCGCCUCGCCCCAGAUCCCCGGGAGUGGCCAGCUGAGGCAGGAUAAUUGCUUGACCCUGGGAGGUGGAGACUGCAGUGACCCCAGAUCUGCAACCUUCUCCUUGGGUUCAAGUGGUUCUCGUGCCUCAGCCCCUCCAGUAGCUGAGAUUACAGGCGGGUGCCACCAGGCCUGGUUAAUUUUUGUAUCAGUAGUAAAGACAGGGUUUCUCCGUAUUGAUCAGGUUGGUCUCAAGCUUUAGACCUCAGGUGAUCUGCUGCCUCAGACUCCCAAAGUUCUGGGAUUACUGGUGUGAGCCACCGAGCCUGGCCUCUCCUAUUUUUUAAAAUAUUUUCUAGGAAUGUUCAGUAAGUGUGAAUUUAUCUGUGUGGUUUUUAAUUAAACCACACACAGUUAGUUAACUUUGUUGGAUAGUUAAUUUUGAGGACCUUUUAUCUGUUGUUCGAUUUUAUGUUGCAGAAUUGCCUGUUCAGGUCCUUUGUGAAAUAUUAGAUUGUUACUUUGUAGUGUUUUUUGUAUACAACUUAGAUGACAACACAUGAAUUACAUGAUUACCUGAAAGUUUUGCCUAAUAUGUAGGGUUUUUUUUUUAUUUGGAAAGUAGUUUCUUUGCCAUGCUGAAACUUUUCUGGUUGAUGUAGUCCACAUUUAUUUUCACCUUUUAUGCAUGUAAUUUUGGUCAUCCAUAUAAGGAAAUAGGUAUCAGUUACAAAGCAUUUAAUUGUCAAUGAGGUUUUUCUUCCAUGGUGUGUCUUUUUCUCUUUUCAAAGGUGAGCAGAGAUUCAAGUGACCCAGAAUAUAUGCUCAACCUGUGUUUUAGUUAAAAACAUUUUGUGGUUUAUGGUCUUUUGUUCUGGUCUUCAGGGGUUUGUGUGUGUGUUUGUUUUUUUGGGGGGGUUGUGGGGGGUGCAGGGGUUGAUUUUCAUAUAUUAUGUAAAAUCGGGGUCCUGUUUUUCUCUUCUGCAUCCAGAUAACAUUUUUCUCAAAGGCAUUCGUUGGUUGAGCAGACUCUGCCUUCCACAUUGUGGUGGUCUUUAUCAAAGUUCAUCUCGGUUGCUCCACAUGACACUGUUUCAUCAUUUUGGUGUCCGAAGAAUAUUCCCUAGUGUAUGCAUACGAGAGUUUCUUGAUCCCUCUGUGGAUGGACAGAGGAAGUCUUGCUCUGUCACCAGGCUGGAGUGCACUGGCCCAUUUUUGGCUUCCUGCAACCUCUGCUUCCUGGAUUCAAGCAAUUCUUCCUCCUUUGCCACCGGAGGACCUGGGACCACGGGUGAGUGCCAUUGAGCCUCGCUAAUAUUUUUGUAUUUUUAGUAGAGAUGGCGUUUCACCAUGUCGGCCAGGAUGGUCUUGGUCUCUUGACCUCGUGAUCCGCUGGUUUUGGCCUCCCAAGGCACUGGGAUUGCAGGCUUUAGCCAUGGCCCCUAGCCUUUGUUUAUUUAUUUACUUUACUUAUUUAUUUACUUAGUAGUAAGCAGACCAUCCUGCAUUCAUUUAUUUUUUAAGUCUAUAUUUAUUUGUUUAUUUAUUUUCAUCUUAUUAUUUUUUAAAAUAGAGACAGGGUUUUUUUCACCAUCUUGGCCAGGCUGAUCUCGAUGUCAUGAUCUUGGGUGAUAUACCGGGCUCAGGCUCCAAAUGGGUGGGAGAUUAAAAGCAUGAGCCACUAAGUGAGGUUAUUUAUUCAUUGAUUUAUUUAUCUAUCUAUUAAUCCAUGUAUUUAGAGGCAAACCUGCAUUCAUUCAUUUAUUUACUGAUGUACUUAUGGAAAAGCAGGUUGCAUUUAAUUAUAUAUAUUGAGGCAACCUUGGAUUUAUGUAUAUCUAUCUACAAAUCUAAUUAUUUAGAGGCAGGCUUACAUUUACUUAUUUAUUGAUUUAGACACAGGCUGACAUUUAAUUAUCUACUUAUGUAUUUAUGUGCAGGCUAGCAUUUAUACAUUUUCUUAACUACCUAAUGAUUUAGAGGCUGGCUUGCGUUUCUUGAUUGACUGAUUGAUUGAUUGAUUCAUUGAUUUUAGAUGGAUUCUUGCUAUCUCACCAGGCUGGAGUGCAGUGGUGCAGUCUUGGCCCACUGUAACCUCCCCCUCUUUGGUUCAAGCGAUUCUUCUGUCUCAGCCUCCCUUGUAGCUGGGACCCCAGGAACGUGCCACCAUGCCUGGCUAAUAUUUUCGUAUUUUUAGUAGAGACCGGGUUUCUCCAUGUUGGCCAGGAUGGUCUCGAUCUGUUGAGCUCAUGUUCCACCUGUCUUUGCCUCCCAACGUGCUGGGAUUACAGGACUGAGCCAUAUCCUCCAGCCAUUAUUUAUUUACAUAAUUACUGAUUUAUUUACUUAGAGGCAGGAAGCCCGGCUUGCAUUUAUUUAUUUAUAUUUUUACUUAUUUAUUUAAUUACUUUCAUCUUAGUAUGUUUUUAAAUAGAGACAGGGAUUCUUUCACCAUCUUGACCAGGCUGGUCUUGAUGUCGUGAUCUCAGGUGACUAUAGCUGGCUCAGGCUUGCAAUGUGUUGGGGCUUAAAAGCAUGAGCCACAAAAACCACAUGAUUAUCUCAACUGAUGCAGAGAAGGCAUUUGACAAAAUUCAGCAGCCCUUUAUGCUAAAAACCCUCAAUAAACUAGGUAUUGAUGGAACA
rnacentral:lncRNA from 13 species